GGAGGAAAGCAGGGGAUCGAAAGACCUUAUGCUUUUGGAGCGGCCGAUGUCUGAUUAGCUAGUUGGUGAGGUAAAGGCUCACCAAGGCAACGAUCAGUAGUUGGUCUGAGAGGACGGCCAACCACACUGGGACUGAGACACGGCCCAGACUCCUACGGGAGGCAGCAGUGGGGAAUUUUGGACAAUGGGCGAAAGCCUGAUCCAGCCAUGCCGCGUGAGUGAAGAAGGCCUUCGGGUUGUAAAGCUCUUUUAGUCGGAAAGAAAAGAUCAUAAUGAACAAUUAUGAUUCAUGACGGUACCGACAGAAAAAGCACCGGCUAACUACGUGCCAGCAGCCGCGGUAAUACGUAGGGUGCGAGCGUUAAUCGGAAUUACUGGGCGUAAAGGGUGCGCAGGCGGUUUUGUAAGUCAGAUGUGAAAUCCCCGGGCUUAACCUGGGAAUUGCGUUUGAAACUACAAGGCUAG
rnacentral:rRNA from 1 species